rnacentral:rRNA from 1 species
AUUGAACGCUGGCGGCAUGCCUAACACAUGCAAGUCGAACGAGUGGCGCACGGGUGAGUCAUGUCUGGGAAACUGCCUUAUGGCGGGGGAUACCUACUGGAACCGGUAGCUAAUACCGCCUACCAUCCAAUGUUCCCAGAUGGGAUUCGCUUGUUGGUGGGGUAACGGCUCACCAAGGCGACGAUCCCUAGCUGGUCUGAGAGGAUGACCAGCCACACUGGAACGGAGACACGGUCCAGACUCCUACGGGAGGCAGCAGGGGGGAAUAUUGCACAAUGGGCGCAAGCCUGAUGCAGCCAGGCCGCGUGUAUGAAGAAGGCCGUCGGGUUGUAAAGCACUUUCAGCGGGGAGGCGUUACCCGCAGAAGAAGCACCGGCUAACUCCGUGCCAGCAGCCGCGGUAAUUC